CACGGCUCUCGGCAACGGAUAUCUCGGCUCUCGCAUCGAUGAAGAACGUAGCGAAAUGCGAUACCUGGUGUGAAUUGCAGAAUCCCGCGAACCAUCGAGUCUUUGAACGCAAGUUGCGCCCGAGACCAUUCGGUCGAGGGCACGCCUGCCUGGGCGUCAC
rnacentral:rRNA from 1 species